UACGGAAGGCAGCAGUGGGGAAUACUGCACAAUGGGCGAAAGCCUGAUGCAGCUAUGCCGCGCGUAUGAAGAAGGCCUUAGGGUUGUAAAGUACUUUCAUCGGGGAGGAAAAACAAAACUAAUAAUUUUAUUUCUUGACGUUACCCGAAAAAGAAGCACCGGCUAACUCCGUGCCAGCAGCCGCGGUAAUACGGAGGGUGCUAGCGUUAAUCAGAAUUACUGGGCGUAAAGAGCACGUAGGUGGUUUUUUUAAGUCAGAUGUGAAAUCCCUGGGCUUAACCUGGAACUGCAUUUUGAAACUGAAAUACUAGAGUAUCGUAGAGGGAGGUAGAAUUCUAGGUGUAGCGGUGAAAUGCGUAGAUAUCUGGAGGAAUACCUGUGGCGAAAGCGGCCUCCUAAACGAAUACUGACACUGAGGGUGCGAAAGCGUGGGGAGCAAACGAGGGAUUAGAUACC
rnacentral:rRNA from 1 species